rnacentral:ncRNA from 2 species
UCCUUAUCAAGAGUGGUGGAGGGACUGGCCCUGUGAAACCACGGCAACCUGCAUAAAAACAAUUUAUGCAAAGGUGCCAAAUCCUGCAGGAAGUUUUCCGGGAGAUAAGGA